UAAAAUUGGAAAUGGAGAAUUUCUAGAAGUCAAAAGAGAAAGGUGAAAUUAUAGUAGGAACUUAAACAGGUAUCAAAUUCAUCUAUGAGGUUUUGUAUGUACUUGGUUUAGAUUAAAAUAUAUUAAGUGUAGGUCAAAUGCUUGAAAAGCAUUAUUCAUUGUUGUUUAAAGAUAUGACCUACACUAUCAUGGAUCUUUCUGGAACUGAA
rnacentral:misc_RNA from 1 species